rnacentral:rRNA from 1 species
UACGUAGGGUGCAAGCGUUAUCCGGAAUUAUUGGGCGUAAAGAGCUCGUAGGCGGUUUGUCGCGUCUGCUGUGAAAUCCCGAGGCUCAACCUCGGGCUUGCAGUGGGUACGGGCAGACUAGAGUGCGGUAGGGGAGAUUGGAAUUCCUGGUGUAGCGGUGGAAUGCGCAGAUAUCAGGAGGAACACCGAUGGCGAAGGCAGAUCUCUGGGCCGUAACUGACGCUGAGGAGCGAAAGGGUGGGGAGCAAACAGG